GGUUGUGGCUCAGUGGUAGAGCGCUUGCCUAGCAUGUGGAGGCACUGGGUUUAAUUCUCAGCACCA
rnacentral:tRNA from 1 species